GGGCUCAUAGCUCAGCUGGUCAGAGCGCCUGCCUUACAAGCAGGAUGUCGGGAGUUCGAGUCUCUCUGGGCCCA
rnacentral:tRNA from 1 species